ACCUGUAAAUCAAAGAUUUUAGCCAGGUGACACUAUUUGCCAAUAUGGCUCGUUCUCCUUAUGCGUAACAUGCAUUCAAAGGAGUUUAAUCUAUGGAACACCCCAUUCCGAGAUGGAGGAAGAGAGGUUUAGUCUCCCCAAGGUACCUUAGAACAAAAUUAAUGCAAACUGAAUCCACAAGCAUGGCUGCAUUCACCAUAUACAGUGGGUAAUAAUAGCAUCUUAGUUUAAAUGUUUUCUUGUACCUUCAGAGCAUGCAGAUCCAAGAAGCAAACUGAAGGUGAUGGAAUAUCCAAUUCUUCGAUCUCUUCUGACUCGAGAUUUGAAUCGUCAACCCCGGGAUUCUUAAAGCUGAAGUUU
rnacentral:lncRNA from 1 species